rnacentral:rRNA from 1 species
AAAUUGAAGAGUUUGAUCAUGGCUCAGAUUGAACGCUGGCGGCAGGCCUAACACAUGCAAGUCGAACGGUAGCACAGAGAGCUUGCUCUCAGGUGACGAGUGGCGGACGGGUGAGUAAUGUCUGGGAAACUGCCCGAUGGAGGGGGAUAACUACUGGAAACGGUAGCUAAUACCGCAUAACGUCGCAAGACCAAAGAGGGGGACCUU